AUUGAACGCUGGCGGCAGGCCUAAUACAUGCAAGUCGAACGAGUGGCGGACGGGUGAGUAAUGUCUGGGACACUGCCUGAAGGAGGGGGAUAACUACUGGAAACGGUAGCUAAUACCGCAUACCAUCAGAUGUGCCCAGAUGGGAUUAGCUUUGUGGUGGGGUAACGGCUCACCAGGACGACGAUCCCUAGCUGGUCUGCGAGGGUGACCAGCCACACUGGAACUGAGACACGGUCCAGACUCCUACGGGAGGAAGCAGUGGGGAUUAUUGCAAAAUGGGCGCAAGCCGGAUGCAGCCAUGCCGCGUGUAUGAAGAAGGCCUUCGGGUUGUAAAGUACUUUCAGCGGGGAGGCGUUACCCGCAGAAGAAGCACCGGCUAACUCCGUGCCAGCCGCCGCGGUAAUAC
rnacentral:rRNA from 1 species